GCACAUCUGGGAACGUCGUUAGGGCCGCCCCGCUCAGGAAGUUUUUCACACUUCACGUCUCAUUAACCGCAGAAAACUGAUGCCUCAUCGAAUCGGACCCGCAAAUAAAAUACAGAUUGAAGUCUGA